rnacentral:tRNA from 1 species
GGGUUCAUGGCCUAAUGGUAAGGCGUCAGAUUUCGGUUCACAUACUGAUUCUCUGAAGAUUGCAGGUUCGAUCCCUGCUGAGCUCG